rnacentral:rRNA from 1 species
CAGUAGCCGCGGUAAUACGGAGGGGGCUAGCGUUGUUCGGAAUUACUGGGCGUAAAGCGCACGUAGGCGGCUUGGUAAGUUAGAGGUGAAAGCCCGGAGCUCAACUCCGGAAUUGCCUUUAAGACUGCCGAGCUAGCAGGUGAGAGAGGUAAGUGGAAUUCCGAGUGUAGAGGUGAAAUUCGUAGAUAUUCGGAAGAACACCAGUGGCGAAGGCGGCUUACUGGCUCAUACUGGACGCUGAGGUGCGAAAGCGUGGGGAGCAAACAGGAUUAGAGACCCCAGUAGUCCCUGUCUCUUAUAC